rnacentral:rRNA from 1 species
UAGGGAAUCUUCCACAAUGGACGCAAGUCUGAUGGAGCAACGCCGCGUGAGUGAAGAAGGUUUUCGGACCGUAAAGCUCUGUUGUUGGUGAAGAAGGAUAGAGGUAGUAACUGGCCUUUAUUUGACGGUAAUCAACCAGAAAGUCACGGCUAACUACGUGCCAGCAGCCGCGGUAAUACGUAGGUGGCAAGCGUUGUCCGGAUUUAUGGGCNUAAAAGCGAGCGCAG